rnacentral:rRNA from 1 species
CCUACGGGUGGCAGCAGUGGGGGAUAUUGCACAAUGGGGGGAACCCUGAUGCAGCGACGCCGCGUGGGUGAAGAAGCGCCUCGGCGCGUAAAGCCCUGUCAGCAGGGAAGAAAAUGACGGUACCUGAAGAAGAAGCCCCGGCUAACUACGUGCCAGCAGCCGCGGUAAUACGUAGGGGGCAAGCGUUAUCCGGAUUUACUGGGUGUAAAGGGGGCGCAGACGGCGAUGCAAGCCAGGAGUGAAAUACCGGGGCUCAACCCCGGAGCUGCAUUGGAAACUGUGAGGCUGGAGUGUCGGAGAGGCAGGCGGAAUUCCUAGUGUAGCGGUGAAAUGCGUAGAUAUUAGGAGGAACACCAGUGGCGAAGGCGGCCUGCUGGACGAUGACUGACGCUGAGGCUCGAAAGCGUGGGGAGCAAACAGGAUUAGAUACCCCGGUAGUC